rnacentral:rRNA from 1 species
UCGAGAAUAAUUCGCAAUGGGCGAAAGCCUGACGAUGCGACGCCGUGUGAGUGACGAAGGCCUUCGGGUCGUAAAGCUCUGUCGCCUGAGAACAAGAGAGAAAGGCUAAUAGUAGUUCUCUUUGAGGGUAUCAGGAAAGGAAGCACCGGCUAACUCCGUGCCAGCAGCUGCGGUAAUACGGAGGGUGCAAGCGUUAGUCGGAAUUACUGGGCAUAAAGGGCGCGUAGGCGGGGAGGUUAGUCAGUUGUGAAAUCCCGGAGCUCAACUCCGGAACGGCAACUGAUACUGCCUCUCUCGAGGAUAGGCGGAGAAAACGGAAUUCCACGUGUAGCGGUGAAAUGCGUAGAUAUGUGGAAGAACACCUGUGGCGAAAGCGGUUUUCUAGCUUAGACCUGACGCU